rnacentral:rRNA from 1 species
UGGCGGCAGGCCUAACACAUGCAAGUCGAGCGCAGUCCUUCGGGACCGAGCGGCGGACGGGUUAGUAACGCGUGGGAACAUACCCUUUUCUACGGAAUAGCCUCGGGAAACUGAGAGUAAUACCGUAUAAGCCCUUCGGGGGAAAGAUUUAUCGGGAAAGGAUUGGCCCGCGUUAGAUUAGAUAGUUGGUGGGGUAAUGGCCUACCAAGUCUACGAUCUAUAGCUGGUUUUAGAGGAUGAUCAGCAACACUGGGACUGAGACACGGCCCAGACUCCUACGGGAGGCAGCAGUGGGGAAUCUUAGACAAUGGGCGCAAGCCUGAUCUAGCCAUGCCGCGUGUGUGAUGAAGGUCUUAGGAUCGUAAAGCACUUUCGCCAGGGAUGAUAAUGACAGUACCUGGUAAAGAAACCCCGGCUAACUCCGUGCCAGCAGCCGCGGUAAUACGGAGGGGGUUAGCGUUGUUCGGAAUUACUGGGCGUAAAGCGUACGUAGGCGGAUCAGAAAGUAGGGGGUGAAAUCCCAGGGCUCAACCCUGGAACUGCCUCCUAAACUCCUGGUCUUGAGUUCGAGAGAGGUGAGUGGAAUUCCAAGUGUAGAGGUGAAAUUCGUAGAUAUUUGGAGGAACACCAGUGGCGAAGGCGGCUCACUGGCUCGAUACUGACGCUGAGGUACGAAAGUGUGGGGAGCAAACAGGAUUAGAUACCCUGGUAGUCCACACCGUAAACGAUGAAUGCCAGUCGUCGGGCAGUAUACUGUUCGGUGACACACCUAACGGAUUAAGCAUCC